GAUGAACGCUAGCUACAGGCUUAACACAUGCAAGUCGAGGGGAAACGAUAUUGGAAGCUUGCUUCCGAUAGGCGUCGACCGGCGCACGGGUGAGUAACGCGUAUCCAACCUGCCCACCACUUGGGGAUAACCUUGCGAAAGUAAGACUAAUACCCAAUGAUAUCUCUAGAAGACAUCUGAAAGAGAUUAAAGAUUUAUCGGUGAUGGAUGGGGAUGCGUCUGAUUAGCUUGUUGGCGGGGUAACGGCCCACCAAGGCGACGAUCAGUAGGGGUUCUGAGAGGAAGGUCCCCCACAUUGGAACUGAGACACGGUCCAAACUCCUACGGGAGGCAGCAGUGAGGAAUAUUGGUCAAUGGGCGAGAGCCUGAACCAGCCAAGUAGCGUGCAGGAUGACGGCCCUAUGGGUUGUAAACUGCUUUUAUAAGGGAAUAAAGUGAGAGCCGUGACUCUUUUUGCAUGUACCUUAUGAAUAAGGACCGGCUAAUUCCGUGCCAGCCGCCGCAGUAAAAC
rnacentral:rRNA from 1 species